UGCAAGUCGAGGGGUAACGGGGAUAGCUUGCUAUCCGCCGACGACCGGCGCACGGGUGCGGAACGCGUAUGGAACCUGCCCCUGUCAGGGGAAUAGCCUUUAGAAAUGAAGAUUAAUGCCCCAUGGUACCUUAAUAUCGCAUGAUAUAGAGGUUAAAGAUUUAUCGGACAGGGAUGGCCAUGCGUACCAUUAGCUGGUUGGUGAGGUAACGGCUCACCAAGGCAACGAUGGUUAGGGGCCCUGAGAGGGGGAUCCCCCACACUGGUACUGAGACACGGACCAGACUCCUACGGGAGGCAGCAGUGAGGAAUAUUGGACAAUGGUGGGAACACUGAUCCAGCCAUGCCGCGUGCAGGAUGACUGCCCUAUGGGUUGUAAACUGCUUUUAUACGGGAAGAAACCUAUCCACGUGUGGAUAGCUGACGGUACCGUAAGAAUAAGGACCGGCUAACUCCGUGCCAGCAGCCGCGGUAAUACGGAGGGUCCGAGCGUUAUCCGGAAUCAUUGGGUUUAAAGGGUCCGUAGGCGGGCCAUUAAGUCAGAGGUGAAAGUUUGUGGCUCAACCAUAAAAUUGCCUUUGAUACUGAUGGUCUUGAGUUAUAGUGGGGUUGCCGGAACAUGUGGUGUAGCGGUGAAAUGCAUAGAUAUCACAUAGAACACCGAUCGCGAAGGCAGGUGGCCAACUAUAUACUGACGCUGAUGGACGAAAGCGUGGGGAGCGAACGGGAUUAGAUACCCCGGUAGUCCACGCCGUAAACGAUGGAUACUAGCUGUGGGGACUUCGGUCUCCGUGGCCAAGCGAAAGUGAUAAGUAUCCCACCUGGGGAGUACGUUCG
rnacentral:rRNA from 1 species